AAAGCUUAGUUGAGUUGAGUUGAUAAUAAAAAAAAUUAUAAUCUGAUUAUGUAUUUUCCAACAAAUUUAAUGCAAUCAUAUAAUUGUUAUAUGACAAUAAUUAUUUAAUAAACAUCACACCAAGCAUAGUUCGGGAUCAUUCACUUUGUGUUUAUGAGUAGUCGCAAACAGAGUCACUUUCAUCUGCACUAGCUAUGAAUGCUACCCGCACUCACUCUAAGGUAGUGGAGAUCUCAAUAUUCAAUUGAAAUAUAAUAAAAAAAAAUAAUACGACAUGACUUGCCAGCUAUUUGGCUGUUGGAUAUCCAAUUACAUUAGUUGUUAACACCUAUAAAUGCCAUGCACAAUUGCACAUGCAACCAUUAUCCACCAGCCCCACCAUUUAUUUUUCUCUUCUGGUUCUAGAUCCCCAGACCCCACCACCCCUAUAAAGCAAAAAUUAUCUAAAAGCCUGCAAUCGGUAAAUGGGGACUAUCUAUACUUAUUUUAUUCCAUAACUAUAACUUUUUAGGUGAGGAAGAAAGGAAGCAUCAAAACAGGUUAAAAUUCCCAAUA
rnacentral:misc_RNA from 1 species